AGAAACUACGGUCUGGUGGAAGCAUAAGGCGGAGCUUAGCUCCUACUUUUUUGUUUUGAUGCGUUUUUGUCUUGAAGCCUAUUGCUUGUAACUGUUAAGUCUGUCGAGUACUAAGCCGAUUCUAUUUCAAGGGUAGCGAGUCGAAACGGGACAUGGAGACCAUGAUUAAACGACCCGACUAAAAUUUUGCACUUCGGGCAUAUUGAGCGCAGCAAGAAAUCACGCCAGGAAUUCAUCUGGGAGCAGUAGGCUAUAAACAUAUAAUUGGAGGAUUAUCCCCGCUAAAAUAAUUGGGCAACUUUUAACGGAUGUAGGCUACUGUCAUCGUGUUUUUUUUUUUUUUAACCUAGUGUGUUAGGCUACUGGAGGACAGAACAGAUUCGUUUAGCCCUUGAUUAUAGUCAGCUGGACAUUGGAGCGGACCCUCUGUGGCCAAAAUAGGGACACAUUGGGACCAAACAGCAUCCCUUUGUGAUCAAAGUGGAGGCGUCCCCCUGCCUAUCUCAGUUGCUCAAUUUACUAUUGUUCUCGUUUUGUUUUAUGUUGUCUUGUCUCGUGUUUUGUCUGCUGUCUUAUGUAUUUAAAAAAAUAAUAAUCUUCCACCUACAAAAUAAUCAAAGUGAAUCACUGGGAUAAUUUCACCCAAUCCCUAAUUGACCCAAAGUCUUUAUGCAUCUGAAUUAAUUGGAUAGUUGUAAGCAAUAUCUUCAUAGCUGCACCUUGCCCUCUGAUAAACUCACAGGAAUUGUGUACUCCAAUCCUUACAGAUCUAGGAGGGAGUAGGGGCUAGAGGUUGAUUUGGGAUUGGGCAAGACACAAAUUUGGAUCACUGACAGAAGCACACUGUAUAGCAUAACAUUAGCAUAAGGACUGUCACAUGCUAGCACUAGUGGCUAUGUUGGCACAGCUUGCAGUUGGUUGAGAGAGCAUAUGUGGGUGACUUAAUCAUCACACACAGACAACACACUCACAUACUCAGACACAGGUUCACUGGUGCGUGCACGCAUAGCUGCACACAUGCAUGUAUUCACGUACUGUCUCUCUUUCUCUCACGUACCACACUCUCUCUCUCU
rnacentral:lncRNA from 1 species